rnacentral:rRNA from 1 species
CCUACGGGAGGCUGCAGUAAGGAAUAUUGGACAAUGGCCGCAAGGCUGAUCCAGCCAUGCCGCGUGCAGGAAGAAGGCCCUAUGGGUCGUAAACUGCUUUUGAACGGGAGAAAACCCUUGCUCGUGAGCGAGGCUGAUAGUACCGUUAGAAUAAGCAUCGGCUAACUUCGUGCCAGCAGCCGCGGUAAGACGAAGGAUGCCGGAGUUAUCGGGAUUCAAUGGGUUUAAGGCGGACUUAGACGGAAGUGGAGAAAUCUGUGGGCUUAACCCACAAACUGCCAUUGAUACUGCAGGUCUAGAGUACAGUUGCCGUUGGCGGAAUAUGACAUGUAGUGGUGAAAUACUUAGAUAUGUCAUAGAACACCGAUUGCGAAGGCAGCUAACGAAGCUGUAACUGACGCUGAGGCUCGAAAGUGCGGGGAUCAAACAGGAUUAGAUACCCGAGUAGUC